GCUCUGCCACUGAGCUAUAGCCCCAGCCCUUAUUUGACAGUUUUUAACUGCUUUAUGUACUUUGUUCAGUAGCAUGUAUUUAAAAAAUGUUUUUGUGAAAUGGUGAGAUUGCUCAACAGAUCAGCUGGCCCAUAGUAUCACUGGUGAUGAUGACGAUGAAGAUGAUGAUGAUGAUGAAGGAUAGCACCAACAUUUCUUGAUACCUACAGUGCUAGCUUGUAUAAAUGAUACGUAUCAAUAUUCCAUUUAAUCUUUAUAGCUUAGUGAGAAUGACCAUUAUCCCCUUUGUGCUGAUCAAGAAACUGAGGCUUAGAAUGGGCAAGGUGACUUGUCAUAGGUUGAACAGCUUAAUAGUAUAAGUUGGGGAUUUGGGUGUAGGUUACCUCUUGAACUAUAAGAACCUGUGCUCUUGCUCCCCAUGAGGCUGCCUACAAAAAUAAGACUCAUUAUUCCUUUCUUCCUAUUGUCUUCUUCCUUUGCUUGUGAUGCUUUUGUCUCUUCCUGAUCCUCCUGUUCUUCCUUAGACCCCUUCUCAGCCUGUGCCUGUCCACGUGGAGCUUAUAUCACACGGGUGGCUUUUCAGUGAUCCCUACAGCAAGAAUAGAUAUAUUUGUCUUUCUUAUUUAUGACCAAAGCAAGGGAACAGGAAGCCCAGAAACAGAUCCGUAUGUAUCAGGAUAUCUGAUUUAUGACAGAGGGCACUGCUGAGCAGUGGGGAAUGGACAGUCAGUUUAAUAAAUAGUGCUGGUUCAACAGGCUAUCUACAAGGAAAAAAAAAAAGAGUAUUUUGAUCCUAUUUGAAUCUAAAGAAGAAAAUUAAAAUUGCAUGUAUAAGAUAACAGUAUCUUCAUAACCUUGGGGAUAGCCAUUCAGUUCCUAAAGAAGACACAGAAAGCACUCACCAUAAAGGAAAAGCUUGAAAAAUUGGGUGACGUUAAAAUGAGAUAUUUCUGAUUGGUCACAAGACAUCAGUAAAAGUGAGCCAAAGCAGGCAGUGUGGAGAAGGUAGAUGCAGUACCUAUAACUAGCAAGCAGAAGCAUAUCCAGAAUACAUAGAGAACGCCAACAAAUCCAUAAGAGCCCCUCCCCACAAUGCAGGCAAAAGAAUUAGGGAUUGUGCUGGUAAGCAGUUUCCUUCUCCAGGUUCCAGGUUUUAAUCAGUGUGUCCUGGAUCAUUGGCACAACCUGGUGGCUGGCCUUGGGAACUGUCUCACCCAGGGCUCUUGUCAUUUCCUUUUUGUGUGUGGCCUUUCCCUUGUGUUGCUUCACUCAGCUCUUGAUUCUGCCCCACGUACCUCCUUUCUCAUGAAUGCAUAUGCCUGUUCCUCUUUUCCUUUGGCUUGUUAACUUUUGAUCAGCUAUUUUAAGAAUAUUUCUCUCUGGCUUUUUUUUCCCCCCUUCCUUUUUCAUUUCCCUUUUUGUACCUUCUUGUUGAGCCCAAAACCUUGUGGUUGUAAAAGCUGUCCUAAAAUAUCUCAGAGACUUUGGGGGAGUAGACUUGUGCUGUGGGACUCCAGAGACAGAGCAAGAACCUGAACAGGUUAGAACCUGAACAGAGUUUUCGUCUUUGCUGUAGUGUUGUUUAUGGAGGGCCUUAUGCCUCGAAUAGGCAGCUGGAUUAUCAUAAUCCCUUCCAUUCUUAUCACCAAAGCCCUUGACAGACCCUUCGUGCAUGUCCAGAGCAACAGCACUCAGCUGGGGGAAAGCCAAGUUUCUCUGCACUUCUGGCAGGUCAAGGUGGGGCACAGAUAGUAGUACAUUAAUUGUAUCAUGUAUACUUAAAAAUGAUUCCAGCACACUCUCCACCUCAGCCCUCUGCAACAGGCCGGUUAAAAACCAUUGACCUGAAGGUUUAGGUCCUCCUCAUUUUCCUCUGUGCUGUUCUUUUCGUCAAAUAGCAGCCCCUGGGAGGUCAGGUUUUUCUGUGUGGGUAAGUCUUCUUUGUUUACUUUGUUGAAGUCCUUACUCUGACAGUACUUGUCCCCUCCACACCUCCCCCACAACACCCUGCUUUCAUUUAAAUGUAUUAUAUUUUGGACCUAGAGAACAAACUGGAAACACUGUAGGUAUGUUUUGACUUAUAAAAAUUUUUGGCCAUGUUUUUUAAAAAUAUCAGGAAUUAAAUGUAAUAAAGCUAAAUUUCUCCUUUGUCCUGAAAAACUGGACAGUUUGGACUCUGUGGGUCCCCCUUCUCAGAGGGCCUCAAGCAGGCAGAACCUGGGAGGGACUGGCCAUUUGGAUUGGUGUGUUCUUUCCGCUUGGCACAUUCUCUUCCCAGUCAGUUUUACUCCUUUAACAUCUGACCCCACAAAACAUUGGAGUUGGUGACUUCUGAAAGGAAUAAAAUAGACUUUUGUGGGCUAGCCUGGGAACCUAACCAGUAUAUUUAAUGUUAUUUCAAUGGAAAAAUGGAUUCCAGCUUUUAAAAUGUGUAUUUUUGAAAUAUCAGCAAUGCAAAGUUGGUAAUGUUCUUAGGAUACUCAGCUGGCAUGUAUAUCUGAGGUUUUGGCCCAUGUUCCCCGUACUUAGGUGCUGUGGUUGGCUUGGCACUUAGUAGGAACUUAAUAAAUGAUUUACCUUAGGGGAUUACCACGUGCCAGUAUCUGCCCCCUUCCCAGUGGUGAAUAGAAAUGCCAUCUUGCUGUGGACCUGGGCCUGCCAGUUCCUCCUGAGACCGGAUUGCUGCUUGAUCUAUCUAGAACACCCACUCUAGCUCCAGAUAUUGCAUAGAAUGUGAAAUCAUUUUCCUGCACAAGCUGCCCUGUCUUGAGAGCUGCGUUUCUUUCACUGAGUAAAGACCCAGUCUCUGUAGAGCCAGCCCUAAUGAGAAAACGAGAGAACAGAGAGAACAGGGAGCCCGGCAGGGCACGAAGGCUGCUUUCCUGGCGGAUGCCUGCGGAACUGGAGUUCAUGGCUGGUACACAGUGCUUGCAUUCCACACCCUGGACUAGGGUGGGUCAAAGUUCAGCGCCUUCCCUUUAAAGAAAAAAAAAAUACUUUUUUGUCUUUGGCAUUAUGAAGUUUUGACCCAGAUCAUUUGGAGGCCAUGAGGAAGGCACAGUGUCUGGGGAGUUUGUUGAGUUCUUGAGGCCUGUAGCUGCAGAGAAGCCAGAGAGCAAGUGAGCCCUUUGCCUUGCCUUUUUGAGUUUGUACUGGCUGGGCCUGCCCGGGCCUCUGGGGGAGAAUGGAAGGAGCCAGCCCUUCUCCCUGCUCUGGAGUUGUCUUUACCCCCUGGAAUCAAACACUGCACACAGCACCCUGUAAAACUGCUUCCCUGUAGGCUGCGGCGUGCUUGCUGAGUAAACAUCCUCCCAUAUUUUUGGAACUAAAUUCAUUUCUGCUUCCUGGUCAUCCCAUUCGGGUUUUUCUGUUCUCGGCGCCCUGCAGAAUCAGGUUAAUAGAAGGAAGACCUAGAAUUGGGCAGAGGCGCCUAAAAUGGCUGUUUCAAUCCUAGUAAAAUCGUGGGAAGGGUAACGGGGUCGUGGGAGGAAAAAGAUUUAGACAAAAAGUGAAACGAAACAGAGCCUACCCACACAGUGUCGUCAUAAUGCUUUGCAAGUCACAGUUGGUCCACGCUGCACCCCCGAGAUGGGGACGUAGCGUUACUCAGACUUGAGCUCAGGCUUGCUGUGGUUGUACGUGGACCACAGUAGUUACAAAUUCCGCAUCUGUGUGUGUCCCUCCUCUGACCCUGCACUGCUUUCACUCUGUCUCUCAUGACUUACUUGCCUCUUCUCUCUCACUGCCACCCACCCGUGACAUCUCCAUCGCCAUGGCAGUGAGCAGCCACGUCAUUCACCAAGUUCACGGGGUGAUGGGCCAACUCGGUGCCGAGCCUACUUCCCUCUAGUUCUCCCUCCUGAAGGAGGAGGCUCCCUGGCAGAGCUCAGAGCCCUUUGUUUAUUUGAUCCUGGGCUCUUGGAUAAAUCAGGAAUGUCCUGACAUGAACUUAGGCAUGUUUUUCUUCCAUGGAGAAGGAAACCACGGCAAAUGGGAUUCACGUAAGCAGAAGACCAUUCUGGGGGACUUGCUUUAGUGCCAUCAAGGCCACAUUCCUUUGGUCAUCAGACCAGUAGGUGACUUCUUUAUUGGCAUGCUUUACCCUGGAGCCCAGAAGGUGUGAAUUUGAAGCACUUUCCCCCCUGCUGGGAGCUUGGCACAUUUGCUCUGGGCUUCUUUUAAAACCAUGUAGUGCCAUGGUUGUCUUCCAAGUGGUCCUUCUUUCUGCCUUGUGAAACCUUGGCCCACAGUAGUUACUUAAGGCUGCUUGGGAAGAUUUUCCCAGAUGAGCUGACUGCCUGGCCUCUCAUUAUCAUUCAGCUUCUUGGAAGUUGCAAGGUUCUGGACAUGGUGCGCUUUACCCAGGACCCAAAUACACCUUUCCCAUCUGAUCAGGUCUAGGCUCGUGAUGCAACUGGUUGUCGGAAACCUUUACCAUGUCUGCAUUCUUUGCAUGUAGCAGUAUGGGAACCCAGGACUUGCUGUGUGUGUCUGUGUGUAUAGGGUCCAGGGUUUUAGUAUCUUGAGCUGUUCUUAGAAGCGUUAGUGUUAGGGAGCAGAAAGGUAUUGGGCACUAUGUGUCUUACUGCAGCAGAGAACCGUCAGUAUCCAAAAACAGUCAAUCUCCAGAGCAUCAGUGUGAACACCCUCCCUGUAAGAGUUCCCAGGUGUGGAUGUCUGGGUAUUACUAUCGUAGAAGGAGUGGUGGGUGGGCUGGUAGAUGGUCAUCUUAGUUGGCUGCCCAUCCCAGACAGGAGAACCCAGUCAUUGGCACCUUCAGGCCAGGCUUAGCUGUCAUUCUCUUUUGCUGUUUUUCAUGUUGUCGGAAGGAUCUUCUUGGGAACAAAUGACUCAGCAACCUGAAUCUCUGAGACUGUGUGGCCUGCGUGCCUUUCGGAGAGUAAUUGAAUGUAUCUUCUUAGGCCCUAAAAUUCUGAGCCCUGAAAAAAAUGGAGAUCCAGACUGGUUUUAUUCUGGAUUCUUGAGGCUGCUAUUCAAUUUAGUUUUCUAAAUUCCUGCCCUGAUAGAAGGAUCUCACUUGUGGGGUAAGCAGACAAUGUUUUAAUUAUGCUUUUUAUCCUUAGGAAAUUCCAGGGAGAAAAAGGUCCUGGUUUGUGGCCAAAAAAGCAAAACAAGAACAAAAAUUAGCUGUGGCUAUAAUUCUGGACUUGUCUGGGCAGAAGAAAUUUAAUGAGAUGGUGGUCUCAGGGUGAGGACCAUUUUCCCCUGUGGCUGGUAGAAGCCCAUAUGCCUUAAGAAGAGAUGAUGCAACCUUUAGCAUGGGACAGCCCCGUCUGGGUGCUGGGGGCCACCACUCCAAGAGUUAAGCUAGGUUUGUGGCUGGGAAGCCCUCAGGGAGGGAAUGAGCUUACAGGGACAGGGACCUCCAUGUCCAGAACAGCGAGGUACAAGGGGGAAAGGGGCUGAAAAGUGUGGCCAAGGAAGCAGAGUGUAGGCCCAACUUUUUUUUUUUUUUUUUUUGCCUUGUUUGACCAGCCUUGGCACUGCCCUCCGGCUCUCCAGGGGAAAAGCUGCAGUUCUGCUCUUGCAACACAAGGAGCAGACUGGAGAAUUUAGAUCUGCGUCACAGAGCUCAGAGAGAGAGAGAGAGAGAGAGAGAGAGUGAGCGAGCGAGCUCCGUCCAUAGGUCUGCUAGCAACAGCCGUGCUGCAGCAGAGAGAGAGAGAAAUCAAGAAACAAGUCAUAGCAACACCGGGCACUAGGUUCUGCCAGCUCACUUGCCAAGCAUUCAGAAAUCUGUCGGGGGGCCAGAGGCCUCUGAGUAGCCUAGGCUAAGUAAAUGACACGCAAGGUGGCACGGGCGGUUCCCGCGGGGAGGAGGUGUGGUGGGGGGGCAGGGGUGGGAGCAAGAGGUUGUGGGGUGACGGCAGAAGGUUUAACGGGACUGGAUUCUGGAACAUUCGGGACUGCGGCACCUUACAGCCGGAUGGAGAUUUGGGUCUGCGCAGGCGACGAUGGGUGGUCCGACAGGCUUCAGGACUCGAUGGCGUAGCCCACUUCUUCCCCCACAGAAUUCAGGAGAGUGCAGCUUGGCUUGUGAGCUGGUGACAACCUCUUGGUGACUGGCUCAGCUGAGGAUGGUGCGGUGUUCCCAGGACAGUGUCAUACUGCUGGAUGGCUCGCUUGCAUUUUAUUUGGAGCACACAUACACACACAUGAAGCCUGGAAGUCCUGCUCUCUGUGGUGCUGUCGAGCCACAAGUGUGACCAAUGUGACAUGAUCCCAGUCUUGUCAGGGAGUCACCACCAGACUGCUAUUGGAAACCAGAAACAGCAAGAAAAACAGGAUCUAACCCUAUGCCUGCCUUCCAGGUAAGUCAGGUUGACUGCUCCCGGUCCUUCCCCUAACCACCUUCCCUUCCCAUGAAGACCAUUUUCCCUAUUCAGUGGGGGGGAUCCUCGGAUGUCUCCAUUCAGACUCUCUUAAAACAAUUGCUCUCUUCUUUCUAUUUUCCUCCGCCUGCCUUUUCUGUGAAUGAGGUUAGUAACCAGCAAGGGGCUGGGGGAAGGGCAGCCAGCUGAAGUGACCGGGAUGCUAGAUAUGAGGGAGGUAGCUGGGUAGCAUUUCUGGGUGUGGUGGUGGCAGAGCAGUCGGGGCUUCCAUAGUAAAUGGAGAAAAACCACUCUUGGCCCCCUGACAUCCCACGUGAGAGUUGGGGUUUGAUCCCUCAUUGGCUGUAGAACUAUAGGGACCUUGGACUUGCUUUCCCCUGUCAUCUGAGUGGGUGACCUUAGCCUUGAUGGGCUUAGUCCAGGGCUGGUCUGGAGUGUAGACCAGCCUGAGCAGUGGGCUUCAGGGCUCUUCCCUUACUUUUGGGGUUCCCUUUGAAUGGAUCACUUUUUUCUUCUAGGCCUUUUCUCUGCCUCGCUGCUGCUGGCCACAGCACUAGCAAUGGUGAUGGAAAGUGAUGACCGCCUACAUACAGACAGUGCCGAGAGCCGACUGUAGGUGCUUCCCCUGUCACCAGGAAGAGUUUACUGUAGGGUUCUUGUCCAGCUAGAGCUAUCCAAGAGCAGCUCGAACCCUGAGUAGCAGCCUUGGAAGUCUCAGACCACAUGUCACCCUGCAAGGUAAGAAGGGCCAAAGAGGACGGCACAGAGAGCAAGGGGACAUCACUCUGGCCACUGGCCACUCUCCAAUACAGGUGAACUUUGUGUUCAAAAAGGAAUUCAUUUAAUCAUUUGACUCCUAAUAGAAGUUAUUUGUAUUUUUCUUUCCUUCUCUCCUCUCUUUUCCUCCUCCCUGCUCCCCCCCCCAGCCUCUAAAGAAUUUAAUCUGCUGGACAACAAACAAUACUGUUAUAAAACUUUGAAAACAAGAGGGCGAGGCCUCCCUGACAAGGAGAAGGGCAUGUCGGGUAACGGCCUGAGGGAGCGUGCCAGGCCCGAGAUGGAGCCGGGCGAGAGCCCAGUUGGCUGGGUACCUGGGCGCCUGCCCCUACCCAGCCCACUCACUCUGCCACCCCCAGUCCAGGGGGGAAGGAACCAAAAUGCAAAGGGGGCCAAGACGCACUUGAAAAGGGGAAGUUGUAUGUGUUCCCCUCUCUGUGAUCUGAUGGGAAUGCACUAGACUGUGAAACUUCCUCCUCCACCUCCCCUCCCUCCCUCCUCCCUCCCUCCCUCCCUCCUCUCCACUCUUCUCCCCUCCUCUUACUCCUGCCUCCUGCUACUCACUGUUCUUGAGACUGGCAGACAGAGGUCCUGAUAACAGAAUGAGGCUGGAAUAGCAAUGUAGGUACAGCCACAGCUGAGCCAGCUGAAGGGGAAGAGGAGAGAGCGCAGACUUGCAGAUGGCUCUGGAUUUGCAGACUUGCAGAUGGCUCUGGACUUGGACUUACCUCCGUUCUGGCUCAGCCUCCCGCCCCCAGCUAGGGAAGUGGAACCACCUCACGUCACAGGGUGUGCCCGGUCCAUGUGCUCUGCCAGGUGUGUGCCCAGGUACUGGGUAGAACUGCCAUUCAGUGGUUAUUGGAUGCGCCCUGGCUUACUGGUGCCCACUUCAGGAUGUGCUCCGGGAAGGGCGUCUGACUUGGUGAAGUGCUCAGUACUCUGAGAUGCUCUGUCCCCCCAGGGAGGAGCAUAGACCACUGGAGGAGCUCCCGGGACCCAGUGAACAGGCAUGAGGUCCUGUAAGCGUGGCACCUGGUAGGACACUGUGUCUGUUACUUCUUGGCAGCUGAAGGAGGGGUGACCAGGUCUUCCUGCCGGGGGUUGGGAAGCUGGGCUCUGGGGCAUCUCUGCACUAACCUCCAAAGUCAGAUCUCCCCCGAGGCUGAAGUUACACUUCCGAGUCUGUCCUAAUAGAGCCAAGUAGAUGACUGGGGAGUGACAAGGGAGUGGCGUUCAUGGUUUUUCUUUGGACCACAUUGGUUUGGGCUGGUGAACUGUACGUAUGGUGGGCAUUGUGUGUGUGUAAUAGACCAUAGGCGUGCUCACUUUUCCUCUCAUGGAAAGUACUAGCUUCCUUGAAAGUAGUUCAGGGCUGUGCCCAUCCUCCCAUCUGCCAGGGGAACCCGGAACUCCGUGCUCCAGCCUCCACUCCAUCCUUCCUCCUCCCCUACCUCCCCACUGUCUCCAGCCACCCCCAUUUCCCGUGUUACCCCACGGCAGGACAAGUAGGGAGCAUUCUCUCCAUCCAGCCAUCCCGACCCAGGCCCUCCCUGCCCUGUACAGAGUCUGGGAGCUUUUGAGACCCAGGUUUUGGUCAAUCAUUUGGAGGAAGGGACAGAAAAACUGACUUUCAAGGAGUUCAAUUGCCUAGGAACAUGGGCUUCUGUACCUGUGACCCAGGGGAAGCCCAAAGAGCUGAUACUGGGACCACUGGGGCUUUGGGAGGCUGUGACUUCUCUCCCUGUUACCGGAGUCGGUACUUGAGGGGCCCACCACCUCUAAAGGAUGCUGUUCCCACUUUAGGAUUUAGGGCCUAGGACAUAGAGUGGUGCCUGAAUGCCGACCACUUCUUCUGGGGGCUUCAGGCCAGCCAGCCAUGUUCCUCCACCCAUGGUCCCUCAACACACAUAUCCUUCAUUUUAUCACCCUUUCCUCUGAUUCAUUAACCGCAGCUAGUUGGCAGCAGGCCCUUCUCUGACAGCUAAAGACAAAAUGUCCAGGACACUGGGUCUGGGCUGGAGUUGAGACUGACAGGAAGCUGGGCAGCCCUUUCAGUCCACACAACAAUGGUCUGGGACUGUCUUGAGGGCAGGACGUUCCCCUUUUUUCAAAAAGGCCUUCUAGGCCCCCUUUCACCAAGAUGAGUUCUUCCUCAUUGCCCGGAACCCUGAAACCAGCAUUCCCAGAGGCUAGAAGAUGGACGCUUGGGGCUCAGCUUCCGGCAUCCUCCCCCACUCUGGCUGGAACUUGCAUCUGUCACGUAAGUAGCUGUGACUCAGCACCCAGCGCUGGGUCAGGAGGGAGAAGCUGCUGCCUUGGCAGGAACCUUCCCACGUUCUGCAUUUGAACACAUUGUGGUAGCACAGCGCGGGUGAUCACAACUGGGUUCAGCCGGUUCGUGUGUGUACAUUUUACAAACAAGUUCCCUCUCCUUCCCAUUUUCCCCCCAUGUUAUUUUUUGGGCACCAUGCUGGGCUCAAAAUAAGAUACUUAGGACUUUAAAACACAGCAUCAUUUAUAAUGAAAAUAGAAGCUGUCUUUGUGAUCUUUUGACUGUUCUUAGCCAGUGGCCCAUGAAGUGUGUUUAAACCUCAGCUCUGUUUAGUUUGGCCUGCACUUUUUUUUUUUUUUUAAUGUAUCUGAUUUUGUAUGCCUCUAGACAUAACGCGGCCUCUCCAGGCCACUAUUCUCUGCUGCACAUUGUUGCUGCCUCUGUCUCUCUGUGUCCUGCCCAAGCCCUCUGAGCAUUUGCAUGUAUGGUGAUCAGUCUUCCCAGGCUGCCUCUGGACAGAUGAAGACGGCACUGAGGCACUGAGGCCCAUUCAGGGCAAGUGGCCGGUUCCUGUUCUCAGAUUUUAUGCCUGGCAGGCGUUCUCCCUCCCUGGGUGCUGACCUUUCUUCCGCCCUCGGGUCCCUUACUCGGCAGAAGAAUGUUCUGGAAGGUAGAAAAGCCUCUAGAUAGAAAGUGAGCGUGACAACAGACUGGGGCUGGAGUGGGGCUUCCCGGACCUUUAACCUGUGCAGUGUCACAUCAGGGCUACAUACCUACUCCUGAUGGGUGAGUAGUUUUCCUUCCUAGAUAAUCUCACUAAGCCCUUCGACACAGCCAAUUUGCUUGGGCCUUUUAGGCCGAAGCAGGAGAAUCCCAUGUCUCUCAUUGGAUGGCAGAGCCCCUAGGAGGCUGGUGAUUUCAUGGGCCACCUUCUUCUAGAUCUAGGUGGCCCUCAGGCUCACUGCCAGGUAGAUCAAGCCCCUGCCAGCCCUUAUCAAAUCACCCAGCUACUCCCAACUAGCACAGAACCACCAGCUUGUUUCAGAGAAGAAUCAUUGCUCAGCUGACUUUUAGAAGACAGAACUCUGCUUCCAUUGAGAGGUCUGUGACCUGAAUGACCCUUUCACCUCCUGAGAUUGAAAAGGCAAAAGAUUUGGGUACUAAGAUUACCUUUUUUCUCCUCUUAUUUGAGAUUGUUUAAAGCAAUGCCUUGUUAAUGGUUUCUUAUCUCUUCUUCCUGAGAACUAAGAGUUUUAGAAUCCACGAGGGGGGACUGUAGGUCUUGGCUUCUGUCUUAUGGUUCCCUUGGUGGUAUUUGCUUCCUUGCUAGGUGCUAGGUAGGCUGGUUGACGCUCCAGUUCCUGGGUAGCAGGAGAGACAUUACUUCAGUGUCACCCUGACAACCAAACGAGAAGGGCACAUUCUGAAGGAGAGAAUGACUUGGUCCUCUAGCAAGCUAGCCAGACUUGGGGGAGGUUUGGGGAGGCUUUCCUGAGCUGAGAUGGGGAGUGUGACUGGGGGGUGGUAGCUAAGGGAGGGUAGAUGGAUGGAUUCCAGGAGGAGGGGCCAGCAGAGCCAGGGCCUGUGGCAGGAGGAAAGGUGCUUUCAGGAUCACUACAGGACACCUGUGCAAGGGCACUUAGGAGGGGGUUUGUCGGUUCUCCUAACUGAAAGUGCUACGGAGGAGUUUCACUGAAAUGAAAAGCAGAUAAGCCGAGAAUUAGCCUAUGUGAAUCUCAAUCAUCCCUCUCAUUUUACAGGAUUUGGAUCUUUGGUAAUAAAUGUCAUGACGUUCUUGACCUUAAAACCCUCACUGUCAUUGCCCACCCGAGCCCAGUGUUGGUUGCAGAUGUCAACCCCAGAUCUGCCCCUCGGUUCCCCCACAUGCAGCUGAGGCCCUGGGACAUCCCAUGGUGGAUGGCAGAGCCUGCUGUUGGUAUUAAGAUUACUGGAGUGGGUUCCUUACCAGCAAUUUCCUCACUACUGGCGGAGUCAUGCUGAGGGAGGACCUAAGGCUCCAGAGAGAGCAGUAGCUACCCAAAUCCACCUGACCUCUUGCAGAACCAAAAUCAUGCCCCCAUCUUCACUCAAGUAUAAUGUGUUCUAUAGUCAGUAUCAUCCCAUUUCCCUGCAGAAAUAUGGCCUCCAUAUUUCCUCCCUCCCCCCAAAUUGCUCAUAGUUAAGUUCAGGAACACAAUGAGAUGAUAGUCAAGCUGAGGAGCAAGCAGCAGUGGACAAAGGGGUAGGAACAUGGACUUGGGAGGUAGCUCUGGAUCUGUGUUUAUGGAUCAUGUGACUUCAGACAACUUAUUUAUCCUCGUUAAGUAAGGAUCAAUUUAUUUGCCUGCAAAAAUUGGAGCAAUACCUGUGUCAUUGACUGUUUUGAGAAUUAAAUGUACCACUCUUGAUGUUCAAAUUUUAUUUUCUUAUUUUUAUUGUAGCAACACAUAACCUUAUUGCCAGGGGCCAUGAAAAAAGAUAAGUUUAUGUCUUGAGGCCUAAAGAAUUGCUUGGGAACCUAAAACAUGGCUUCUGCUGUCUCUUCUCUCUCUGGGUUAUGGCAUCAGAGGAAACACACUAUUUUCUUCACUUCAAAUAGCCAAAAAAAAAAAAAAAAAAAGAUGAUACGAAAGAGGAAAUCUAAUUUGGAACAUGAUUUGGAAAUCUAUUUUCAGGCUUCAGAAUCAAAGCUCAGUUUCAAUUAUGUGAAUUCAGUACAAUGGUAGUCAUGUGAGAGGUUAAAUCCAAUAAGUCAGUUAAAGGUGUCAGAUUUGAAUGUCCUGAUACUGAUAUGCAGUGUGGUAAGGAGGAGCCCUUGCUCUUUAUGAAUAGGGAAAAGGAAACAUUGCUCUGGACAGGUGAAACUCACCUUUGUAUAGCCGCUGGUGCCUCAGAAGCAUGUAGGCUGCUUGUGUCCUGAUGGAGGGAUAUAAUGUAUCUAGAGACAUUUUGUGUGCUGUUCGGAAAUAUAUAAAGGCUAGGAUGGUAUGAAUGUAAAAUUAAUAUAUUUUAAAAUUAAAUACUUUGGAUUUGGCUGUUUUAUUUCAUCAUGUGUAAUAGUUUAUAGUGACUGGUUGUGAAAUGAAACAGAGUUAAUGAGUUUUGUUUUGCUCUCAUCUGUUGGAGUCCCUGUUGCAUUGAGCAGUACCUUUUACCUCUCCUCAGUGUCUUUCUAAUGGAUCAUUCUGUCAUGUCACAGUAGAAGACAUUUCUCCUCAGGGUGAAGGCCGGGUCUUCCCAUCGCAUCUCCCUGCCUUCUUCGGUGAGAUCCUCUUCUUCUGGAAGCUGGUUUCACAUGGUGGCUUAGAUUUUUCCAUCUUUGUAUCUAGCACCAUUUGAAAUCAGUGUUUUAGGAGUAAGAAUUGCAGCUCUACAAAGGAUGGACUGGGGAGGAGCUGCUGCUCAAGGGACUGACACUCUUCGCUGCUUGAGCCUGUUCAAGAAGUCAAGGGAAGACUUGGACAGCAAAAGUCACUCAAGAAGAUGUUGGAUGUGGGCGGGGCCACAGCAGGAGUCGGGGGCGGGGCUUGUAUUUAAUGUAAAUGCAGCAGCUUGAGCAGGCCACAGCCCACCACUAGCACCUGUCUCUAGCAUCACCGAAUUGGAAGGGCCUCUGAGUGCAGUGAUUGUGCUGUUCAGAUGGUGAUGAUGUAUUGGGUGUCGACUGUGAUAGGGAAGGGCAGAGGGCUGUAUACCUGGAGGACUGUCACCUCAGCACUGCCCACAUGCUCCUGGAGGAUGCCCCGGAGUAUUCCGCUGGAAUCAGAUUUGGCACCUGCAGAGGUGCAGACCCGAGGAGCACUACUGGCUCAUCUCUUACACAGGCUGACCGAUUUCUCCUGGUGUUCAGAGUCUGUUUUUGUCUAGCACCAUUUGAAAUCGGUUAUGAUGUAGGGGGAAAAGCAGCAACCUCACAGCCUCAUGCCAAGUCUGGUCAGCAGCAGCCUGUGGUUUCCUGGAAGAUGGAUGGGCAGAGAGUGGGGAAGGAAGAUCACACUUUCCCUGCUAACUUCUUUAGCUGCAUUCAUGAUAUGUUAUUGCAGAGGUAAGAGAUAAUUCAGUGGAUUUUUAAAAACAAAUCACUAUAAUUUAUAUGAUGUCCUCAGUUGCAUUUUCUGAAAUGUAAUAUUGCUGCGAAUUGUGUAAAUUGGUUGCCGUUGAAUUAUCUUUCUGCUAAGUAGUCUGUUCAUGCAUCCUGACUUUAAUAAAUAAUUUCAUAUAUUCAAUUUA